rnacentral:rRNA from 1 species
GCAUAUCAAUAAGCGGAGGAAAAGAAACCAACAGGGAUUGCCUCAGUAACGGCGAGUGAAGCGGCAAAAGCUCAAAUUUGAAAUCUAGCACCUUCGGUGUUCGAGUUGUAAUUUGAAGAUGGUAACCUUGGGUUUGGCUCUUGUCUAUGUUCCUUGGAACAGGACGUCAUAGAGGGUGAGAAUCCCGUCUGAUGAGAUGCCCAUUCCUAUGUAAGGUGCUAUCGAAGAGUCGAGUUGUUUGGGAAUGCAGCUCUAAGUGGGUGGUAAAUUCCAUCUAAAGCUAAAUAUUGGCGAGAGACCGAUAGCGAACAAGUACAGUGAUGGAAAGAUGAAGAGAACUUUGAAAAGAGAGUGAAAAAGUACGUGAAAUUGUUGAAAGGGAAGGGCAUUAGAUCAGACUUGGUGUUUUACGAUUAUCUUCUCUUCUUGAGUUGUGCACUCGUAUUUCACUGGGCCAGCAUCGAUUCGGAUGGCAAGAUAAUGGCAGUUGAAUGUGGCUUCACUUCGGUGGAGUGUUAUAGCUUCUGCUGAUAUUGCCUGUCUGGAUCGAGGGCUGCGUCUUUUGACUAGGAUGCUGGCGUAAUGAUCUAAUGCCGCCCGUCUUGAAACACGGACC